UCGGGGUGCGCAGGCGCGAAAACUUUACAAUGCCGGCAACGGCGAUUAGGGAACCUCGAGUGCCAGGAUACAAUCUUGGCUGUCGCGAUGCCUAAAAAGCAUUGCAUAGCAAGGGCCGGGCAAGACCGGUGCCAGCCGCCGCGGUAACACCGGCGGCUCGAGUGGUAACCGCUAUUAUUGGGUCUAAAGGGUCUGUAGCCGGCCGGAUAAGUCUUUUGGGAAAUCCAGCUGCUCAACAGUUGGGCUUUCAGAAGAUACUGUUCGGCUCGAGACCGGGAGAGGUGAGAGGUACUUCAGGGGUAGGGGUGAAAUCUUGUAAUCCUUGAAGGACCACCAGUGGCGAAGGCGUCUCACCAGAACGGAUCUGACGGCAAGGGACGAAAGCUAGGGGCACGAACCGGAUUAGAUACCCGGGUAGUCCUAGCCGUAAACGAUACUCGCUAGGUGUCAGCCACGGUGCGACCGUGGUUGGUGCCGUAGGGAAGCCGUGAAGCGAGCCACCUGGGAAGUACGGCCGCAAGGCUGAAACUUAAAGGAAUUGGCGGGGGAGCAC
rnacentral:rRNA from 1 species